CAUUGAGUCUGAACGGUGCUUUAACCUGCGUUCCUGCUUCUUGUUUGGACUUUACUUUGCCAGGACAUUUAAACUCUGAUGUCGGGGGUGGGGUUUCCCUCUCUCUGCUGUAAGGCGAGUCCCAGGGGAUGCUGGCUCUGUCUUCAGACGAGACGCAGAGGCUUUUAGUGGGGCUCCAGGCAGCACAGGUGCUGCCCCUGCAUGCAUUGAUCUCUCAGUGCUUUCACUAUAGAGGAUGUCAGUCAUGACAACGGAAUACACCCAGGCAUGGCUUUAAGAUAUGCUGCAUUGUUACCACACAGUAAAGGCUGCACCCUGGAAGUAGAGGCAUCGCUGUCAAUACAUUUUUGUGUCAAAUAAAUACUGCAUGAAACUCUGA